ACUCUUUGUCCUACCACCCCUGUGUCCUCAGACCAUUGGCCACUGACCCCUACUUAACCUUGGGCACAUUACAUGGCUUGGUCAUUUUUUUUCCCUGAUUUCCCCUCUGGUGUGCUGGAAUAAACCUUGGCUGUAAUUUAGCAUACAAAAGACCUUUCUGCCUCUCUGCACUGAGCUAGUUGUGGUGAGUGUGGUGUGUGACUGCUUUGCCUGAAUGCUUACCCAAGCUGCUUUUCCACAGGAGUUGCUUAUUGGGAAAUAGAAUUUAGGUACUGCUGAUAAAUCCAAGCACAAGCAGGACACAAUCAAGCAUACAGCAGUCAUGGAAUCACAGAGCCACAGAACACUCUGGGUUGGAAGGGACCUCCCAAGCCUGGUGCUCCAUCCCUCUUACCAUCCUGGUGGCCUCCUCUGGAUCUGCUCCAACAGCUCCAUGAUCUUCUGUGCUGAGGAGCUCAGAGCUGGGUGCUGCACAGGUCUCACCAGAGUGGAGCAGAGGGGCAGAAUCCCCUCCCUUGCCCAGCUGGUGAUGUAGCCCAGGACACUGCUGGCUUUUUGGGGUGCAAAUGCACAUUGCCAGCUCAUGCUGAGCCUCUCAUCCAUCAGCACCCUGAAGUCUUUCUCUGCAGGGCUGCCUGCAAUCCCUCCAUCCCCCAGCCUGUACUGAUACUGGGGGAUGUCCUGACCCAGGUGCAGGAUUACUGCACCACAAUGGAGUAAAUUAACUUUUGGCUGGGGACUCCAUCUUCCAUGGAAUCUGAAGUCUACACAAAGCAGACAUGAUCUCAUUUCAGGAUUUUGCUUUCAUCUAACCAUUCUCUA